UCAUACCUUUUGCAGUAAGAAAGAUAAACAAGCUAGAAGAUAGCUCAGAAAAACGGGACCUAUAACCGCAAAAUAAAAAGAAACAGGAAGUACUUCCGGCUAAAAAAUAUAAAACGGUCGCUGGCCAUCCGACUGCAAAGAGGGAGUUUACGCAGUAGGAAAAGCAAGCUCUUGCUAAGGCAUUUGAUGAUGAGAUGGAUAAUGUGUCCAUUAAGGAGAGGUUUGAUAACUGUAAUUCAGCAUGGCUUAACAGCUGAAUAAAGAAGAUAAGCCAAUAAGCUGCUGGAUUGGUUUCAGGACGAGUGCCAAGUGUCUGCUAAAGAAUUUGUUUCUGUACUCUGAUGCUCAAGUUGUUGAAGGAGAAGAAGCGAAACUCGUACCCCAUGAUUAUAGACUGCUUUGAGGAGUACCGGUAAGCUUGAUAAAUGAAUGUGUAGUUUAUCAGCUGUGUAGCCACAUGUGCAACGAGGUGAAACUUCUAAUUCCAGACACUCAGGAAAAAUGAUAGGAAGAAAUGUCCCUUGUCCGAAGGUACGCACCAAAUACGAAUGUUGUCUAUUAUCUUGUAAAAUUUCCUAGGAUGGUAGUGCGUUCUACUCCUUUUGAUGGUAACUUUGGCUUGUGUUUAAAGGAUGUGGAAGGAUACAGCUAUAUAUAGCUACUGACACCACUGAACAAAGUUUGAUACUCUUUUGCUUGUGAAGUUCACUAUUCCUAGUGACACAACUUAAAGAAGUGUAACCAUAUUCGUGAAAUGUACUUACAGUAUACAGCUACGUAAUACACAUGACUUGUACAAUCGUUUCUUUUUUAGGGAUGAAUGUGCGACAGAUUGAAGUCGUUUGGAGGAAGUGACUCAAAGGUUAAGAGGUAUAUACAAAUUAUAGUAUUCGAUUGUCCAUCUUUAGGUUUGACGAUGACCUUCAAGCCAUUGAAAACCUACACGAAGUAGAAUAUACGUCCGUUUAGCAGUCAACCUUAAGUGCCUCGAAAUUCGCGGUAUAUAGAUUAUGAUCUACGUAUGAGGUUUCAAUUGGAGCACUUCCCCAUGGUGAUGAUGAAACCAACCUAAGUGCAUGAUGAAGAGGUAAAUCAUAGUAUACUACUACACAGUGUAAGGUGUGCUCCGGAGGGUAUGUGGCGUAAAUUAAUUAUUGUACAUGGUACAGUACAUGUAACAAUUUCUAAGGGUCCCUGGGAACAAAAGCAGAUCAAUUCAUCAUAAAACACCUGAGGUGUCAACCAAUCCCCAGAACCUCUCUUUUUAGACUCUGAUGUAAAUGACAACGAUAAUUUCUUCCCCAUGCACUCUAUAUACAAGAAGUCCAGAGGCACAUACUACACAAUGUAUAUAAGGGGUGGAAAGAGAGGAGUUCUUACAUGCAGCAUAAAUAUCCAGUGAUAAUGACGCCAGCAGAAAAGGAGGUGAUAUGUCACUUAUCACAGAAGGUCAUUCAGAUCCACCAAAGCCAAAAGCUUCGUUAACAGAUGUAGACGUGAAGAAGCCCAGCUUCUAAGUCUUCAAAGAGUGGAACUCUCAAAGCACUGGAGCUUACUAGCAAUAUUAUUUAUAG